GUGAGGAAUUUUCCGCAAUGGGCGAAAGCCUGACGGAGCAAUGCCGCGUGAAGGAUGAAGGCCUAUGGGUUGUAAACUUCUUUUCUCAGAAAAGAAUUAUGACGGUAUCUGAGGAAUAAGCAUCGGCUAACUCUGUGCCAGCAGCCGCGGUAAGACAGAUGAUGCAAGCGUUAUCCGGAAUGAUUGGGCGUAAAGCGUCUGUAGGUUGUUUAAAAAGUAUUCUGUCAAAGAUUAGGGCUUAACCCUAGAUAGGCAGAAUAAACUUUUAAGCUAGAGUUUGGUAGAGGCAGAGGGAAUUCCCGGUGGAGCGGUGAAAUGCGUAGAUAUCGGGAGGAACACCAAAGGCGAAGGCACUCUGCUGGGCCAAUACUAACACUGAGAGACGAAAGCGAGGGGAGCAAAUGGGAUUAGAAACCCCAGUAGUCC
rnacentral:rRNA from 1 species